rnacentral:lncRNA from 7 species
AUGUCUUUACCUUCUGUCAUUAAAUUCUUUUUUUUUUUUUUUUUUUUUUUUUGUAGUUUCCUGGGGCACCAGCCCUGUAGUUAUCUCCUUGGAAAAAGUCAAAUUUGGCCUGGAAUGAGGAGCACCUAUGGAAAAGGAAUUGAGAGGAGGGAUAUGAUUAAAUGGUUUGAUUGGAUGGGCAUAAAGACUGUGCAUAUUUCUCCAGAACAUCUUCAUGGAGAGAAGAUGAAGAGUGACCAAGGCAGAAGAAGUGCUCAUGAUCAGGAAAGGAAAGUUGUUAUACCAAAAUCGUUGGCUUCUUUGCACUGCAGUUGCAGUGAAUAUCCUUGAAUAUGAAUUUAAAGGAAAAAGAUGCCACUGCUACAGUUCAGCACAAGUAAAAAAAAAAAAAAAAAGGAGUGCUAUAUGAUACAGCUGAUUAUAUAUUUCCUUGGGAUAUAAGUGUCACCAGUGCAGAGUCUGCGCUGUUUUUUCUGCAUAGCUUUGGGAUCUGACUGAUGGUAUCUAAAGCCCUAAGUUCUUGGAUUUUAUUAAAGAUGCUGUACCUUUCCAUCCACAUUAACAGAUAACAGUUCAAAUACUAAAACAUCUUAUUUAAUGUUUGGAAAUUCUUCACCACUUGAUGUAUUUCAUGAAAGUUCGGACCCACUUGUUAAAAAAAUUACUCAAUUAUAAGGCCUUUUGAAUGGAAAAUAAGAACUACUGGAGAUGUUUGUAGUCUCUGAGUUGCAAGAGGUGAAAAGAAAUGAUGGAAUAGUAUCUUCUCAAUGCAGAUAUGCUAGUAAACAGCCCCUUUCUUAACAAAUAUUGGUAUAUUUACUUCCACUUAGUGUUCAGCAGUGCUCAGUUAUGUGUUCUUCUCUGCAGAAAUAACUUCUCUAUACAGAGUUAGAACUUAUGUACAAAACUUGAGGUCCUAGUUCAUAUAGAAUUAUUCCAGUGACUCUCAUGAAACUAGCAUAUUGACACGAAUUAGCAAAUUCCAGACUAUGUGGUUAAAAGGUAGCUUAGGGGUAAGUAGAAUUUGGUUUAAUUUGCUGUUGUGAUUACUAAAUUUUACCUCAUCUUGCAGAUGUUUCUCUAUCUCCAGCUACCUGAUCCAUAUAAACUGACAGCCUUCCAAUCCAGGACAUUCUGUGAUUCUGUGAUUCUGUGACAAUUAACUUCAGAGAUUUUCAUCCUCAGUGCUUUCCCUGUACUCCAGUGACCAAACCCAAUGAUGUACGUUCCACAUAGAUUAUGGACAGCUGUGUUCAUCUUUCAAGAGGCUAAUAGAAUUUUAUCUUUCCUAAAUUAUUUUCCUUUUUUUUUUUCCCCCCUGAACUAACUGGCUUUUGGAAAAAAAAAGCCAAAUAUGUCUCUAGAACUUCAUCAACAGAAUCAACAUAUGAUAUGAGUUCAGGAGAGGAACUCCUGAUGUUAACUCGCUGUACCUUUGUGGUCAGUUGAGUCUGUAUCCUGCAGAAGAACAUUUCUGGGAAACAGAUGAAAACUCUGUCUCUAAGAAGGACUGCUCAGUGCUCCCUGCUGUGUUGUAGAUGGCUCUAUUUUCCUUAGUGGCUCAUUUUAGCAGUGACUUCCUUGUCAGAUACUACCUCAUAUUCCCUUGAAAUGAAGAGAUUCAGGAAAUCUGCGGAGAUGUACCAGUACCAUAAGACUAGCAGGAAGGACACUAAAGCACGUCAUGCAUGAGUAUUUGCCAUACUGUCAGAAGCAGGUUUGGAUGUCCAGCAUAGAUUCAUCUGUCCUGACUUCAGAAUAAAACGCCUCACUCCACAAAAAUAUUGUUUCUCUUAACUGGUGCUAAAAUGUAGAUGUGCUCAUGGAAUGAUCUAGCUCAAGAUUAUUCACUACAGAGAGCCUGGGACAGAAAAGAGUUCUGGCUGAGAAAGUGGCCUCUUCCACGUUUGGAUCUGAACAUGUAAUAUAAGAUGAACAUACAUAAAAGACUAAUUUUGUAGGGCUUUUAUCCAGCAAGUAGAAAAACAGUUUCACUCUAUGGAGAAUCCAUUGAGAGAAGUCCAUAGGAAAUCUACACUUUAUUUCCUGCAACCAUGAUCUCUGCCUUGCUCAUAGUAUGACCAUAGCUAUCAGACUGUAGGCUGUAUGUAACAGCCUCCGUACGGCCUUACAAAUGUAUGUAAGCAGAAGACAGUCAAAGCACUACAUAUCUACUGAGUUUGUCUUUUUCAUUUGCAGCCACUACACGCCCACACAGCACUUCAGAAGUAUGUUGGCUGAGUCCUCCUCAAAUGUUUAGUAAUGUGCUGUGUCCAACACUUGUUUGCAUACAUUUAUGUACCUACAUAUCUAUAUAUGCAUUCAUAGAUAAGCCUCUGCUCUUAAAUAUAUACAUACAUACAUAUAUAUGCUUAUGUUCAUCUGUGUGUGAAUGUAUGCAUGUCAAAAAAUAUUCUGUGUAAGUUUAGUGGGCCAGCCCUCUAAGGUAAUCUUGUGUCUGCUCAUCCUUCCUCUAGGCCAAUGUAUUUCACAUCUGUUUUGAAUGAGUAGUAGCAGUCUCCAAAGCAUAUCCUGCUUUAUAACAUCUUUCCUUCUCUGUUGUGGUCUUGUGGCUUCCUAUGAGACACUGUUAUGUUGCCUCUUGUGAAAUGAUUGCAGCAGCUGCCACUCUGAUUGAAAUUCUUGUUGAAGUAAUCUAAAUUCUCAGACUACCAAGAAUGAAAUUAAAUGGGGACUAAUUAAAUGGUCAUAAAAUUAAAAGGAAAGAGAAGAACAUAAAACAUUUUGUUUUGGCCUCACUGGAAGCUGCUACGCUAGAAUCUGUGAGCCCGAUGUUAGCAGAAGUUUGAGAGAGAUGGGCGGAUGUUCAGGCUAUAUAUAGAAGUAUAUAAAGUAUAUAAAGCAUUCCCAGGCAUAAAGUCUGUACUGCUUUGUUGCUGGAGUGGCUUCUGGGUGGUUCCAUUUUAUUUCACCCUUCUCAACGAUUCCCAGGAACUAUUCAGGAUAUGUCAUGAGCCAAGGAGUAUUUUCAGUAACUGGUUUGGAUGUAUCCAACCUACUUCAGAGAGUGAGCAAGUUAAACAGUGUGGGCACGAGCAAUUUUAACCUUGUUGGCC